UGCAAGUCGAGCGCCGUAGCAAUACGGAGCGGCAGACGGGAGAGUAACACGUGGGAACGUACCCUUUGGUUCGGAACAACCCAGGGAAACUUGGGCUAAUACCGGAUAAGCCCUUACGGGGAAAGAUUCAUCGCCGAAGGAUCGGCCCGCGUCUGAUUAGCUAGUUGGUGGGGUAAUGGCCCACCAAGGCGACGAUCAGUAGCUGGUCUGAGAGGAUGAUCAGCCUCACUGGGACUGAGACACGGCCCAGACUCCUACGGGAGGCAGCAGUGGGGAAUAUUGGACAAUGGGCGCAAGCCUGAUCCAGCCAUGCCGCGUGGGUGAUGAAGGCCCUAGGGUUGUAAAGCCCUUUCGGCGGGGAAGAUAAUGACGGUACCCGCAGAAGAAGCCCCGGCUAACUUCGUGCCAGCAGCCGCGGUAAUACGAAGGGGGCUAGCGUUGCUCGGAAUCACUGGGCGUAAAGCGCACGUAGGCGGAUUGUUAAGUCAGGGGUGAAAUCCUGGAGCUCAACUCCAGAACUGCCUUUGAUACUGGCGA
rnacentral:rRNA from 1 species